UUUUAGAUUGGAGGCUUUGAUCUAUCAUUUUCAAUUGGUCACCUAUUAAGUGAUAGUUAGCUAGGGUGAAACCGGCCAGUUAAAAG
rnacentral:ncRNA from 1 species